ACCUCUCUUCUACCUUAUUUUGACAGCUGUAUCAACCUACUGACACCAGUAACUCCAGAGCUGAGUAAGCCAGACGGCAAAUAUCACUGUGAUCACCUGAAUGUGUUGCAGCCUCUCUGGAGAAACAGUUAUCAUAAGCACCUAUCGGAAGAUCACACUUCAUUAAGUAUACAUAUAAGGGCGAAACAACAGAAAAUAAGCAGCAGUGCUACGAACUCAUGCCAGCUGUCCUGUCAGUCAGAGCUUCACGAGAGAUAAUCUUGGCGCCUGAGAUUUCAGUGUGACACUGAGAAUGAAUCUGCUGACCAUGCAUUUGCACCCAAAUUAAAGAAAAGGCAGACCUUGUAUUCACAGAGUCACUACAUAAAGGCAUUCAGAUCUUCCCAGCUCUCUUAAUUUCCUGCUGAAGUAAAGCAGUAAUUUCACCUGAAGGCUAAGGAAAACACAAGAUGUGCCUUAUCUCAGGUGUCACUGGGGUAAAUGUGAUAAAGUUAAUUACUUGGCCACCUGAAUGUACUACGUAUAUCAUAAGAUAGCUUGGCUGACUUGUGAAUAUGCUUAUUUAUUCAAAUUUUUGCCACUGAAAAAUGUGCAUGCCUUUGGGAGAAAAAAACAUCAUACUUGGGUUUAGAUCCUCUUAUUUAUACUAAUAUAUGCAGAUUUAAACAGUUUAUUUGUAGUUUAGAGAAAAACUGCAUCAGGCUCUCCAGAUGCUGGAAAUAGCUUACUUUGCCUGUCCUGCAGCAUUGCUGUUUGUUUAUCAUUUCAGAGUUCACAAGGUAAUUGCCUCAUUAUCUGUUCAUCUAAUUUCACAGAGAAAUGACAAUCCCUAGCUGCUGAGGUUAUGGCCCAUCAAAAAUUAUACUGUCUCUAAUUUUAUAUCUGAUCUCUGGUAGAUUUUAAUUUGCUUAUCUCAGUUCUCAUAUAUCGACGAAAUUGCUGAAUUCUAUUAAAAUCUCCACCAGCUGCCCAAGAUUUAAGGCUGAGAUACUGAAUUGAGACUUGCUGAAUUAUUAAGACAUUAUUGCCAAUGUGAGCCAGUAAAAUAAUAAUUAAAAUAUACAAGAUUAAUAUGCCUUACAGUUUUCUGUAUAUCAUUUGAAUUCAGUCUGAAUGAGGCUCCAUCUACACAAACCAUAAAAUGUCCUAUCACCUCAGUUCACCUGACAAAAGAGUAACGUUGUAGAUCGUUUUUCUCUGUGCACAGUUACAUUGACCUUAAGUGCCAGAACUUUGAGAAAUAGAGAUAAUAUGAAAACGGCUAUGCAAAUUUCAUUUGGUGGAUAGCGUAAUAUUUUUGAAGUCGUGAUUUCCCAUACAAUGCUUCAAAUUGAACCCUGUGAAAUGUUAUUCUGCUG
ensembl:lncRNA